rnacentral:rRNA from 1 species
GGAUGAGCCCGCGGCCUAUCAGCUUGUUGGUGGGGUGAUGGCCUACCAAGGCGACGACGGGUAGCCGGCCUGAGAGGGUGACCGGCCACACUGGGACUGAGACACGGCCCAGACUCCUACGGGAGGCAGCAGUGGGGAAUAUUGCACAAUGGGCGGAAGCCUGAUGCAGCGACGCCGCGUGAGGGAUGACGGCCUUCGGGUUGUAAACCUCUUUCAGCAGGGAAGAAGCGCAAGUGACGGUACCUGCAGAAGAAGCACCGGCUAACUACGUGACAGCAGCCGCGGCCG